rnacentral:rRNA from 1 species
UACGUAGGGUCCGAGCGUUUGUCCGGAAUUACUGGGCGUAAAGCGCGUGUAGGCGGUUGUUCAAGUCAGGUGUGAAAGCCUUGAGCUCAACUCAAGAAAUGCACUUUGAUACUGGAUGACUAGAGGACCGGGAGAGGAUAGUGGAAUUCCCAGUGUAGUGGUGAAAUACGUAGAGAUUGGGAAGAACACCAGUGGCGAAGGCGGCUAUCUGGACGGUUUCUGAC